rnacentral:lncRNA from 1 species
UAGCAAACCUGCUUCUAUAGAUCCACUAUUUCCCUAACAGGAAUUCUGUUAGGAUAACCUUGUUGGUCAAACAAAACCUGUAUUCAUCUGUGUGGAUGUAUUGCAUGCUUUCCUUGUUUCUCUUGCUCUCCCAGUGCCUGGGGAACAUCACGUGUUGAUUAGCGUCAUAGCUUGAGACAUACUCAUUCCUCAGAUUCACCUUCAUUAUGCUCCUUUGAACAUUGCACAACAACCCACAACAGAGACAUAUUCCAAAGAGAUCCAGACCAGCCAGUGUUCAGUAGGAAAACAUCAGCACCUGUAGGAUGAAUAAUGUAAUCUAAUCAGGUUCAUCAUUCAGUGAUUUUUUAAAAAGUGUUCUCUCAAUUAUUAUGUAUGAGAGCAAUACAUUUAUCUAGAUCCCCUUUCCACUCAAAACUGUUGAUGGACAGGUUUGGGUAAAAGCUAGCUAAUUUGCAUGUAUGGC